CAGCCUCCCGAGUGGCUGGGAUUGCAGGGUGGAAUUUCACUGUUGUUGCCCAGGCUGGAAUGCAGUGGCUCGGUCUUGGCCCGCCGUAGCCUUUGCCUCCCGUGUUUGGGUGGUUCUCCUGCCUCAGCCUCCCGAGUGCCUGGGAUUGCAGACUUUCUACUCCUUAACCCGCUCAUGUGUGUGAGUCCGUGUCGUUAAUCCUCUGGGCGCCAGACAAUGAACCCUGAGUAUUUACCCCAGAUACCGAAGCUGCUUCAGGAUGGGCACCUGCUCCAGAGCUAAGAGCUGAAAAACUACCUGUUGGGUAUUAUGUUCACUGUUUGGGUCACGGGGUAAAUAGAAGCCAAAAUCUCAGCAUCAUGCAAUAUACCCUGGUCACAAACCUGCACAUGUAUACCCUGAAACAAACAAACAAAUUGUGGCUGAUCAUUUUCUGAUAAUAAAAUUCAUAUUCUUACAUCAGUGGCUUAAACAUUUCCGUACUUGUGGUAGCAGGGGUGGCGGCGGUGGUGGUGUGUAUGUGUGUGGGUGAUUUCACCUUAUUUUGAAAUAAAGCCAAAGAGAAGUUCUAGAAAAUGAAACUUUUAUUCCCCAGAGGCGAUAUUUUGUUAUAAAAAUCCCUUUGGCAGACACCUCUGAAAGUGUUCAAGCUAUACAUAAAAUUAAUGAAUCUACAAAAUUGUGAGUAUUGAUUCUGUGUGCUUUACCUUACCCAUGACCUUCUCUUACGAUUGUUCUAACAUAACAUUGAAGUAGAGAUGAAUGUGUCUUUCUCCCAGAAAUUGCAGAGAUUUAAGAUGCUCGGUGGGAUCAUUCUCCACUCCAGAUUAUAAUAAAAAGCUUGUGUCUCCACUAUUUUAUUAUCCAGAACGCUGAGCACUACCACGUAUUUGAAGUACAAUAAAAAUUGAUGUUUUUAGUAGUAACAUUGAAAUAUGUGGUCUGGAGGUGCUUUAUGAACCCUCAGACAAGAUCAAAUUAUAUUUCUGCAGAGACAUUUAUGCACCUAAAAUAUAUAAAUAAUUUAAAUGAAUAUGUGAUUAAUAAUUUUCCUCUG